GAAAUAUGAAUUUCAAGAAAAAGCUUCUAACUUUAUUCUUUAACGUUUAAGACCGUUAAUAUUUCU
rnacentral:tRNA from 1 species